rnacentral:rRNA from 1 species
AUUGAACGCUAGCGGGAUGCCUUACACAUGCAAGUCGAACGGAGUGGCGAACGGGUGAGUAAUGUAUCGGAACGUGCCCAGUAGCGGGGGAUAACUACGCGAAAGCGUAGCUAAUACCGCAUACUAUUGGAGCGGCCGAUAUCGGAUUAGCUAGUUGGUGGGGGAACGGCUCACCAAGGCGACGAUCCGUAGCUGGUUUGAGAGGAAGACCAGCCACCCUGGGACUGGUCACCGGCCCAGACGCCUACGGGAGGCAGCAGUGGGGAAUUUUGGACAAUGGGGGAAACCCUGAUCCAGCCAUCCCGCGUGUAUGAAGAAGGCCUUCGGGUUGUAAAGUACUUUCAGCGGGGAGGCGUUACUCGCAGAAGAAGCACCUGCUAACUCCGUGCCAGCAGCCGCGUUAAUUC